rnacentral:ribozyme from 1 species
CCACAACAAAAGAUAUAUAUCUAGUGGAACUGAGAAAGGAAAAAGAAAACUGUGUAUUUAUAUUAUCUCUCCUUUCUUCUCUCACAAAAUCUCGUUUUCGUUUUUCUCUCUCUCUCUCUC